rnacentral:misc_RNA from 1 species
AAUUCUCAACCCCUCUCGAUUUGCUUCGAGUGGGGCUUGGAUAGUGGGGGCUGCCGGAGACCUGGAAUUCAUUCUGGGACUCGGGCUCCUCUGAAAUGCAUCGGCUUGCGGUCGACUUUCGACUUUGCGCGACAAAGCUUUCGGCGUGAUAAUGAUCGCCGUUCGCUGAAGCGCAUGAAUGAACGGUCCCGUGCCUCUAAUCAGUCGACGCCUUCUGGGCGUCUUCCUUAUAGAC